GCUAUUUCCGCCGUCAUGUUGGUGACGCCCACAGUUGCUCCAGCAACAAGAUAGUGUGGGAGGGAAAGGGGAAGAGGUUUUUCAGCGGACAGCGGUUCUCUUUGGUCCACCAGCGUCCUCAAAGAUGAACUAUUUGGAUCUGCUUUAAGGCAAUGUCUGGCUUUUCGCGGUUCAGUACCCGCUCGGUCCUAGUUCUGUUGAGGGCGCUAACUGCAGAUGCCUGUCCCAGAUCAUUAGAGCAAGUCAAGUUGCCCCGCAGUGAGAACCACGGCGGCCGGUCACUGGGCAGGCAUCAGUUUAGACUUGGUUAUUGGAGGAGGGAAGUACAGAGCGGGGUUGGGGAGCUCGACCUCUACCCGGGCCUGAACUCGAUUUGCGAUCUGGUCCUUGGGGACGCUUACGAGUAAGCGCAGUGGAACCUAAGCCCGCAGGGGUUCAUUCAUUCAGCAGACAAUUAUCGGGUGCCUCCUCGGGCCCACGUUUUGCCAAAUUAUAGUUCGUUAUGCUAGAGCGUAGGUAUCCUCAGGGGAAUCUGAUAUAGUCGUAAAAGAGCUGGUGAUGGGCAGGGGCGGGGAGAAACUCCAUUAAAGUGCAUAGAGUAUAUGAUCAAGUUUAGCAGCCUCCUACUCCCAAGCUGUCAUCUUGAACCCGUCGUACUAUCCCAGGAUGUCAGCGCUAAAAGACCUGCAAGAGCAUUGCCUGGUGCCUGGUUCAAGCCCUACCCUCUCCAAUUUAUUUUGCAGAGGAAACUAAAGGCACAGGAAGGAGGUGUGGUGCUCCAAGGACAAUGCUGCUUCAAGGACAAAGGACGACCCUGCCUGAAAAAGUUUCGAGGUGACACCCCCUACUGGAUUCUUAAUCAAUCGCCCUCCCCACCAUGUUGCGAUGGUUACAAAAUUCCUGAGCCCACCUGUUCCAAAUAAGGAAAGGCAUCUUCCCCGUCUCACUCCCACCCUAUAGAAGGAAGGUAUAUGUGCCUCAACCAUCAGUAAACAAAAUUUUCACCUCGGACCAUUCCUUUGUUUUCUGGCUAUAAAAACUGAUCAAUAGCACGUGUUCAGGCUCGACUCUCCCAGACUACCAGGAAGUCGGCCCACUGUUCUGGCAGCAACCCUUCCCUCUAAUAAAUUCUAUCUUCUUUACAUUC